GGAAAUGUUUCUGAUUCACGCAUGCAAAUUCAUCUUCAGAUAGUGUCUUUAUAGCAAUGUGCAUGCAGUAGAUUGCUCAGAUUACAUUGGGAAAACAGGCGACUGCUGCAAAUUGUGCUUUAAUGUUUAGCUGGUCAAAUGUAUGGUAUGGAAACCUUAUAUACCUGCUAGAUGAACCCGUCUCAUACAGCUGCCAUUGCAAGGCUCAGACACUUUGUAGAGAGGAAUUUAACACAACUGCCUCUAGGAGUCGCCAAUGGAAAUAAAACAGAGACGCACAAAAAAUGUGCGUACGCCUGCCAGAAAGCUGCCGUGAACCCAGCCGGCACACGACCGACCUUCAACGUUGAAAUAUGGUUGAAAUAAGGUCAGAUGUGUUUUGAACGUUGAAAUAAUGUUGAUAGAACGUUUAAUGUUGAACGGUUGAAAAACAGCCUGCAUAUGACAAGGCUUCAACGUUGAAAUAUGGUUGAAAAUACGUCAGUAGUUGCUUUAAUGUUGAAACAAUGUUGAAUGAUAAAUGGUUGAAAAAAGUUACAGAAAUCCUUGUACAAAUCAACGUUGACAUUUUUUUUAUCAUGGUCUGUAUGUUGAAUUAACGUCAUGGCUUCACCCAAUAUUCAACAUGUUUGGUUACCAUGGUAUCGGAGGACUCGGCGCACGCGGCCACGCGCAGCGCUUCACUUCACUUAAUUACGAACACCUGACCUGCAGUGCAGCAGAAUUCAGAGACAUGUAACGUACUCCAGAGACGCACUAACUUGCACAGCAUUGAAUGGAAAAGGCUUUGCCCAUGUCCAGUUGAGGGGCAUCAAGAACACGCAGAAAGCCUACCUGGACAGACUGCAGUUCUGCUACUCCAUGCCAAGGCUUUUGUAUGGAUGUCUUGACUACUACUGUGUUCUCUAAAGGUUUUUGGAAGCUCCAUUUGAGGACAUCAAGGACAUACUGAUGGCCUAAACCAGUGUCAGCCUAGACAGACAGACAUCUAUUGCAGUCCUGCUACACAAGACCAAACUCUCUGCUUUUGUAUGGAUGUCUGACUAGUACGGUGUUCUCUAAAGGUGUAACUGGAGCAAAACAACAGCACCCGUUACAGUGAAAUUUGUGUUCAUAAAAGAUAGUGAUAUAUGUGUAACAGGUCCAGAACAUUUGUCAUAAAGGUUAAAUCACAGUAAGUACUGUAAAAAUAACUUGUUUGCCUUUGCCACAACAGGUCAUGGUGUGUGCUUACUGCUCGUAGUAAACACACAUGCUGAUCUGAUGCGGGAGAGAUAUACGCAAACACAUUUGUAUUUACUGUUUUGUUUUGCCUCACUAAAGUGUUGUUGGAGCUUGGUAUGUUCACAGUUGAAAUCACUGAAGUCACAUAGAACGUUUUGACAAUGUGUUUUGUGCCUUAUCUUGACAAUGACCAUCUUGGGACCAUUGCUGUCUGUAGAGGAUGAGGAGCAUUUAAUCAAAAAUAUUUUAGUUUGUGUUCUGAAGAUUAACAGGUCUCUGGGAUGACACAAGUAAUUAAUAACAGAACCUAUAUGAACACUUAAUGUGACAUGUAAUAGUGAAAUAGUGGUCCUACAUUCACAAAUGUGAGCCAUUAUUAUAAGACCCAUGUGAACAUGCAAUUUUUAUGAUACUAAUAAUAAUAAUGGAAUAACAAAUUGCUUUUACUGUUGUGUUUGUGAGAGAGAAUAUUCUACACAUUUUCUUGAUGAUUUACUGAAAUAUUUGUCUACAUGUUCCACUGUCACAGGUGCUCAGUUUUGCUGCAGUAAUGCUAAACACAAUAGAUGUACUUUAUGCAAAAAAAAAAAAAACUACUAAAUA
rnacentral:lncRNA from 1 species